GGCCACUUCGAUAGCCCUUGUUGUUGGUUCUUCUCAAUUAGCUAAGGAAGGAGUGGAAAAAUUCCCUAUAACUUCCACCAUCAGACUGUAUCUCUCCAGCCAGAGGCGUCUCCUCACACACUGAUACACACAGAGAGAACUAGAAAAGGAGGGAGCGAAGCACAAUCAAUGUGGACUGAGUUCAAAUUCAGAAUGAGAAACCUACAGCCCACGGACAACUCACCAGAAAAAACUGUUUCCAACCACAUAAUGGUAGGCAGCUGCAGAGUCCAGCUCUUUAAAGAACUUGCAGGAGAAGCUGCAAGGUGGUCAC